UCUGAACGCCGGCGCGGUCCGGCGGAGGUUGGAUCCCGUCCCGUCGGGGCGGGCGCACUACCGGCCGAUCUUCUCCGCCCUGUCGGCGAGGUCGAGCGAGAGCGUGCAAGUCGGGACCCGAAAGAUGGUGAACUAUGCCUGAGGAGGUUGAAGCCAGAGGAAACUCUGGUGGAGGACCGUAGCGAUUCUGACGUGCAAAUCGAUCGUCAAAUUUGGGUAUAGGGGCGAAAGACUAAUCGAACCGUCUAGUAGCUGGUUCCCUUCGAAGUUUCCCUCAGGAUAGCUGGCGCUCUGUCGCAGUUUUAUCUGGUAAAGCGAAUGAUUAGAGGUCUUGGGGGCGAAACGCCCUCAACCUAUUCUCAAACUUUAAAUUGGUAAGAAGCCCGACUCGCUCGUUUGGAGCCGGGCAUGGAAUGCGAGUGCCAAGUGGGCCACUCUUGGUAAGCAGGACUGGCGAUGCGGGAUGAACCGAACGCCGGGUUAAGGCGCCCGACGCGACGCUCAUCAGAGCCCACAAAAGGUGUUGGUUGAUAUAGACAGCAGGACGGUGGCCAUGGAAGUCGGAAACCGCUAAGGAGUGUGUAACAACUCACCUGCCGAAUCAAUCAGCCCUGAAAAUGGAUGGCGCUGGAGCGUCGGGCCUAUACCCGGCCGUCGCGGCGGUACGAGCAUCGAGUUGGGCGCUAGGCCGCGGAA
rnacentral:ncRNA from 1 species